rnacentral:rRNA from 1 species
AGAGUUUGAUCCUGGCUCAGGAUGAACGCUAGCGGCAGGCCUAACACAUGCAAGUCGAGGGAGGAGCUUUCGGGCUUCGACCGGCGUACGGGUGCGUAACGCGUAUACAAUCUGCCUUUCACAUAGGGAUAGCCCGAAGAAAUUUGGAUUAAUACCUAAUGGUAUAUAGGAGUGGCAUCACAUUUAUAUUAAAGCUGAGGCGGUGAAAGAUGAGUAUGCGUUCUAUUAGCUAGUUGGAGAGGUAACGGCUCCCCAAGGCGACGAUAGAUAGGGGUUCUGAGAGGGAUGUCCCCCACACUGGUACUGAGAUACGGACCAGACUCCUACGGGAGGCAGCAGUGAGGAAUAUUGGACAAUGGUCGGAAGACUGAUCCAGCCAUGCCGCGUGCAGGAUGAAGGUCCUAUGGAUUGUAAACUGCUUUUGUAAGGGAAGAAUAAGGAGUACGUGUACUUUGAUGACGGUACCUUACGAAUAAGCAUCGGCUAACUCCGUGCCAGCAGCCGCGGUAAUACGGAGGAUGCGAGCGUUAUCCGGAAUCAUUGGGUUUAAAGGGUCCGUAGGCGGGCUAAUAAGUCAGAGGUGAAAGCGCUCAGCUCAACUGAGCAACUGCCUUUGAAACUGUUAGUCUUGAAUGGUUGUGAAGUAGUUGGAAUGUGUAGUGUAGCGGUGAAAUGCUUAGAUAUUACACAGAACACCGAUAGCGAAGGCAUAUUACUAACAAUUAAUUGACGCUGAUGGACGAAAGCGUGGGGAGCGAACAGGAUUAGAUACCCUGGUAGUCCACGCUGUAAACGAUGGAUACUAGCUGUUUGGUUGCAAGACUGAGUGGCUAAGCGAAAGUGAUAAGUAUCCCACCUGGGGAGUACGCACGCAAGUGUGAAACUCAAAGGAAUUGACGGGGGCCCGCACAAGCGGUGGAGCAUGUGGUUUA